rnacentral:rRNA from 1 species
UAAUAUUUUGAACCGCAUGGUUCAAAAGUGAAAGACGGUCUUGCUGUCACUUAUAGAUGGAUCCGCGCUGCAUUAGCUAGUUGGUAAGGUAACGGCUUACCAAGGCAACGAUGCAUAGCCGACCUGAGAGGGUGAUCGGCCACACUGGAACUGAGACACGGUCCAGACUCCUACGGGAGGCAGCAGUAGGGAAUCUUCCGCAAUGGGCGAAAGCCUGACGGAGCAACGCCGCGUGAGUGAUGAAGGUCUUCGGAUCGUAAAACUCUGUUAUUAGGGAAGAACAUAUGUGUAAGUAACUGUGCACAUCUUGACGGUACCUAAUCAGAAAGCCACGGCUAACUACGUGCCAGCAGCCGCGGUAAUACGUAGGUGGCAAGCGUUAUCCGGAAUUAUUGGGCGUAAAGCGCGCGUAGGCGGUUUUUUAAGUCUGAUGUGAAAGCCCACGGCUCAACCGUGGAGGGUCAUUGGAAACUGGAAAACUUGAGUGCAGAAGAGGAAAGUGGAAUUCCAUGUGUAGCGGUGAAAUGCGCAGAGAUAUGGAGGAACACCAGUGGCGAAGGCGACUUUCUGGUCUGUAACUGACGCUGAUGUGCGAAAGCGUGGGGAUCAAACAGGAUUAGAUACCCUGGUAGUCCACGCCGUAAACGAUGAGUGCUAAGUGUUAGGGGGUUUCCGCCCCUUAGUGCUGCAGCUAACGCAUUAAGCACUCCGCCUGGGGAGUACGACCGCAAGGUUGAAACUCAAAGGAAUUGACGGGGACCCGCACAAGCGGUGGAGCAUGUGGUUUAAUUCGAAGCAACGCGAAGAACCUUACCAAAUCUUGACAUCCUUUGACAACUCUAGAGAUAGAGCCUUCCCCUUCGGGGGACAAAGUGACAGGUGGUGCAUGGUUGUCGUCAGCUCGUGUCGUGAGAUGUUGGGUUAAGUCCCGCAACGAGCGCAACCCUUAAGCUUAGUUGCCAUCAUUAAGUUGGGCACUCUAAGUUGACUGCCGGUGACAAACCGGAGGAAGGUGGGGAUGACGUCAAAUCAUCAUGCCCCUUAUGAUUUGGGCUACACACGUGCUACAAUGGACAAUACAAAGGGCAGCGAAACCGCGAGGUCAAGCAAAUCCCAUAAAGUUGUUCUCAGUUCGGAUUGUAGUCUGCAACUCGACUACAUGAAGCUGGAAUCGCUAGUAAUCGUAGAUCAGCAUGCUACGGUGAAUACGUUCCCGGGUCUUGUACACACCGCCCGUCACACCACGAGAGUUUGUAACACCCGAAGCCGGUGGAGUAACCUUUUAGGAGCUAGCCGUCGAAGGUGGGACAAAUGAUUGGGGUGAAGUCGUAACAAGGUAGCCGUAUCGGAAGGUGCGGCUGGAUCACCUCCUUUCUAAG